rnacentral:rRNA from 1 species
AUACCACCCUUGUAGUACUGGGACUCUAACCAUAGGCCAUGAAUCUGGUCUUGGGACACUGUCAGGUGGGCAGUUUGACUGGGGCGGUCGCCUCCCAAAAGGGAACGGAGGCGCUCAAAGGUUCUCUCAGUACGGUCGGAAAUCGUACGUAGAGUGUAAAGGCAAAAGAGAGCUUGAUUGCAAGACAUACAGGUCGAGCAAGGAU